ensembl:lncRNA
AUGGGUGAAUGGUAUGUCCAAAACUUCAACAUCAAACAAUGAACACUGGGACAAUAUAUUUCAAAUGCUGGGAAUGAUGAGAGGUGGACUAUGGAAAAUGUAUAAAGACAUUAUAACGAAAACAUGAGGAGUUUUAACACCAGGUUUACAUCCUUUACGUGGUGUAGAAAAUAUCAAGGAUGAAGAGAAUGUUUUGUGAUGAGAGGAUUGUGAUUUUACUUCUCUAAUGAGAUCAUAGUGAUUAGAAUACUUUGCCUCUUUACUAGCCACGCCCCAGGGAGCCCAGAGAGUGUGUCAGCAUGAUGAAAACUCACCCUUUUUUAUAAAAAAAGGGGUGGAUCAGCUUAAUAUUGGAAAGAUUGUUGCUUCCAUCAAUGUAAUUGUCUGCAUCAUUUCCAAUCCCCCAUAUAUUUUGGGGGGUAAAUAUAUAUUACCAUAUACAUACACAUAUAUACAUACACAUACCUAUAUAGACAUAUAUACUUUUUUUUUGAAGAUACCUUUAUAAUUCCGCAAACCCUACCACCCUUCCCCUAAUUGGAGUAAACUAAUAAACAAUAAUGCUUUGGCUUUUACCUUCUACAGUUUAUACAUCUUAUACAGAUUUGACAAAAGUUAUAUUUAGUUUGUUUUUAGUCCUUCCUCUUUUUCUGAUGUCCAUCCAGUUUGAUUUCUAUUUGUAACUCUGCUAUUUCACAACAUUCCUGAACCUAUAUACAUUUUACCGACCCCGUAAGUUUUACAUUGGUUAUCUUGUUAUUAGUCCAAUCCUUCAGCUCCAUUCAACCCCUCCCAUCUAUCUCUCAACACCAUCCAUUUUGGAUUUCUAUUUGCCAUAUAUUUUUCAACUGUGCUGUGAUGCUUGACAUAAGUACUGAACCUUUCUAUUCUCAUAGCUUCUACAUAUUGUAAAUUAAAAAUAAACCUUUUUGCUAAAAUAAUGAUUAUAUUAUUGAUUGAUUGACUAUGGCUUUUCAAAUCACCCAGUAUUGCUAUCUGCAGCAUUAGUUCUAGGCAAAUGUUACAAUUCUUCAGCCAUUCCUAGACCUGUGACCAAAAACGAGCAACAUAUGGACAAUAACCAAAUAAAUUAUCUAAUGACUCUGCC